CCGGUCCGUGGUAACGUCGUUGCAGUUUUAUUUCGCUGCCGAAUACAUCCCAUUCACGACAGCACACAGAAGUUGAUCAGGGGAUGGCGGCUAGCAUGAGUCAGUCUCCAGUUGUCUAGUCGGACAGACUCUGUAAAAGGAGCGAUACAGAUUCUGGACAUUUUCUCUGUUGUGGUUUGAAUCUCAACAUUCGACUUCGCGAUAAAGCCACAAAUUGACCAGGAGUUCCAGUCUUACCACCCUACAUUCCUUACUGCCAACCUUGUGUGAUAUGACCCAGACAAUAAUUCCAGGGAAGCAUGCUCACAAUUACCAAAUUUCCGUGAACAUGUUUAAAAUACCAUUUCUUAGUUCAAUAUCAAUAUUAAGCGAAAUUAAAACGAAUUUUUAAAUCUAGAUUUACAACUAAAUAAGCAUAAGCAGUUGCUCAUGACAGUUGACUUUAGUUAUAAUCUUUGCAAUAGAAAAUUUAUCCAUGAAUGGCAUUUGGUUACCUAACGCACGAAGAUAGAUGUCUUCCGGGUUGUUGUGCCAUGGUAGAAGUUUAACAUCAUCGCCCUGAUGAUGGAGGCAGCAAGGACCUUUGAAAUGUUGGUAAACUCCUACCAGAACACACGGUGCAACAACGUCGCAGACGGCCAGCCGGGCAUCUUCAAAAUCAUCGCCGUGACAACCUCAAAUCCUACCUAACGUACGUUUAGAAUCAAGAGAAACGAUAAUGUUCUACAUGACUACAGGGUGUCCGGUCUGAGGUGGAGCUACAUUUCGUCUGCCGAGAGUCUGAAGUACAAGAUAGCGUCUAGGACGACUCUACAAGUUCAGACAAGUUAAUGAAGCGAUGAACUGUCAAUCUCGUUCUAGCUUAUAGUGAAUAUGAAGUGUGGAUAAAAGUACCAUUUUUAUCUCUUGUAUAUUAACCCUUUUUCAUGCUAGGAAAGAUAUUUAUUCGUUCAGAAAUAGUUACUGUUCUGAAUAAGUAUGGUUCAACAACGUAUGUGAAAUUGUAUUUGUAUUGGUUUCUUUCUUAAUUCAAAUAACUGUAGCUUUCCAUCGACUGAAGUCAUGCAUUAGUUACCAAUUAUAUAUAACCAAAGGAAACACGUUUUGCUAAACAGAACUUAUCGUGGAAAGGGAUAAAAUUGCCUUAAUUAUAAAUAGACUGGAAUCCCUGUUCAAUGUUUCUCGACUUUAACGUUCUCCUUCAUUUAAUUUUCAGUUUUGAUAAUCCCAGCUCAAGUGUUUUAUAUUUUCCUCAAUUUAAUGUUCAUUUAUAUUGUCCUGAGGAUCAGUCUUAACAAAUAAAUUAAAAAAAUUCAAAUAUGUACUCCUGCAUGUUACUUUAUUAAAGUGUUUUGUAAAUUAUUCCACUCAUAAAUGUUUACCGUAUAUUUAAAAAUUAUCCUCUCUUCUUGGAUUAUUAUUCUUCUUUAAACGUUUAGUCUGGUUUACCCAUAUUUUGUCCUUUUAAAAUGCCACUCUGUCAAAUUUACUCUGAUUUGGUUUAUAAACUGUCGGACUCAGCACGACACUUGAUUGAAAAUGUAUUUACCGAUGUCGGACUGAACCCAAAAGAGGACUUACUUUGAGGUGCAUUUAUUUGAAUAUAUGACAAAUGAUCAGUGGUAAUUUAUUUUGAUAAUAAUGUUAAGAUAAUUGUAAUUGUUGGACUGAGGCUAAAAUUGGGCCAGAACACGGUGCGUACAAAUUUCGGGCUAAGGCCGUCUAAUGGCUCGGAAGAUUUAAAAUUGGGCACUUGCGAUAAAAUAUCAAUGGUUUAUGUGUGUAUUACUUUAAAUUUUGGUACUAGGGUACUUUAGAUUUCUGUAAAGUUAUAUUAGUACAUAGUUACCGCAAAAUAUAUUACCAAGCCGAAAACAUAAUUCAGUUUCAUAAUUAAUAACUGUUGUUUUCGCAUAUAUAUUGAAUGAUUUUUUUUUAUAUUUUUAUACACUAAUUUUUGUAAGAAUCUGUUAUAAAAAAAUGUGUGUAGUAACUUAUAUUUUAGAAUUUUCGUGAUUAUUUCACAUUAUUCGAAAGACUGAAAGUUAAAAUUGACUAAACUAUUAUAAAUAUUUAUGGCAAAAUAUAUCUCAUAUAAAUGUUAAGAUGUCCUACUGAAGCUUAUGUAGGCCUAAUUGUUAUAAUUUUAAUAUAUUUCUUUUAUUUUAAAGCAUUUUGUAGUAAGAUUAUUCAGGUCUACAAACUUUGUACAUUCAACUUCAGACUGGUGGUGUUUUAUGGACGACGGUAAGCUUACGCACUAUGUAUCUUGAAAUUAUUCCACUGAAUUCUUGAUAUGAACAAUGCGUAUUUGUGUUACUAACAAAUUCUCAUCAUCAGUUUUAAAUCAGUGGCCUCUCAGAACUGAUACAGUGGCUGGAAAAGGGCGAAACACUAUUGGGAGACCAAAUAUGAUAACGUAGAAGCAACAGUGACUCCAUGAUUGAAAGUACAGGACUCUGAUUCCUACGGGCAGGAGAUAGAAGAUCUUAGCCACACUAUGACAGGGUCCAUGAGACCUAUUUCCCGCGGGAUUAAAUAGAAAAUAUUCAUGAAGGCACUUGAAGUUAUACAUACACCAUGUAAACUUGGUUUCUGACGACCUGUUAAAUGAAAGCUAUUCCACCAUAACUUUUAAAUUUUACAUAAUUCUUUGAUGUGUCAAUUUGAUUUACGUUUCUACAUAGUAUCAACAGUCUAUCAUCUGACGACGUGAGUAUAGAUUCGUCAUCAUGAACUGUAUACAACGUAUGUGUAAAUUUUAGACCUCGAGACUUCCCUACUUUAAUAACUCAGAUUACAAUUAUUUUUUAUAAAAUAUAUAUACUGUCAGUUUUCCAUAUGAUAUUUCGAAUUUGCUCAUUUUAUUAAAUAACAUAGGUCUGUUUCGUUUGUAUCAUGUAUAAGAUGGCAUAAUAAAACUUAGUUCAAUGUGGAUCUGUACACAAAUGUAUCCUGUGAAAGGAUCCAUUACAAACCUGUCUUGCUUCUAAGUAGCCGUUGCAAAGAAUAAAGUAUACAAUCCAUUUGUGUAA